UUCUUUCUUCGACGGAGCAAACAAAAUGGAGAAUUGAAAAACCCUAGAUCUCCUUAAUACUCUUAGGUGGUCUCCUUCAUCUCUCUCAAUUCAUCUUCUACAUCUCUUUGGGAACAUGGGUUUUCUGCUUUUGAUGUUGUUACUUCAUUGGAUAGGAUUUGGGAACAUGGGUUAUUAAUGGCUUUCAGUGGAGAAGGGAAGAUGAUUGGAGCUGUGUGAAGGAGAAACUUUUCUUGAAUACUGCUUUCGGUUGGGUUGUUGACUGCACAUCAGAAGAAGAAUUCCGAUGAAACAUGAGUGGCUGUUUACAUUACACUACACACUUCUUGAGCUUGUUCAGAGAACACAAAGAUAUCACUUCGAUGCCUGCUCAUAAGGUAUACCCCCUAGGAUCCAUUUGUAAACGUCGUAAAUAGAACCUGAGAUGUUGACGGUUGAAAAAUCUCCAUUUUAAGUGGUCUCAUAUUCCAUUUCCUCGGGGAGCUGCGUUGUGGCCAUGAGACAUACAUUUUGUCAUGUUCUUUUUAACAAACAGUAUAUAUAUACCUAUGAGGAUAUCGAAUAUAGAGAACACCAUCGUUCGGGACUGAAUGGCUUAAUGCCUUGGUGACAUUCUGCAAUUCUGAGGCGUUUAAUUUUAUGCUGCACUUUGUAUUGAACUGGUUGCUUGCUUACUUGGUAUCCUAAGUAUGAUGACCAGCAAUGAGCCUUGGCAAAUUCCAUGGUUUGCAUCCUGAUUUGAUAUCUGUGUGCUGAAUUAAAUCAUAGUAUGAUAUUACUGAGAAACAUUUUGCAAAGACUGCAUUUUGGACUGGGUUGUCUACUGCACAGCAGAAAUGAAAAUGUGUAUGCAUUCUUUAAUGAAUUGCUUUCAAGCUAUUUGCAUUUACGUUUUCUUUUUCGAUGUUUAGUUGACAUCACCCACUUCUUGAGCUUGUUCUGAAAUUUUU